AAAUUAUUUGCUUCAGUCUACUACCGUUGACUAUAAUCUCAUUGGGAAAGAAAAAAAACAAAUGCCUCAUGGUUAGUAAAACAAAUAAAACCUGACAAAUGAUUAAGUUAAUUAAGAGAGCCAAAAUAAAAGAGACCACCAAUAUUCAAUAACUAAUCAACUAAAAAUAUCAAAAAUUGUCCGGGUCUAACAAUUCAACUUCUCAUUAAUCACCAUCUAAC
rnacentral:lncRNA from 1 species